rnacentral:rRNA from 1 species
AUUGACGGCUGGCGACGAGGCCUAACACAUGCAAGUCGAGCGGUAGCACAGAGAGCUUGCUCUCGGGUGACGAGCGGCGGACAGGUGAGUAAUGUCUGGGAAACUGCCUGAUGGAGGGGGAUAACUACUGGAAACGGUAGCUAAUACCGCAUAAUGUCGCAAGACCAAAGUGGGGGACCUUCGGGCCUCAUGCCAUCAGAUGUGCCCAGAUGGGAUUAGCUAGUAGGUGGGGUAACGGCUCACCUAGGCGACGAUCCCUAGCUGGUCUGAGAGGAUGACCAGCCACACUGGAACUGAGACACGGUCCAG